GCACUUGCAUUUGAGUGGAAGCUUAAGUAAAUGGCUUGUCAAAAUAAGAACCUUAUUCCCGUUUUGUUUGCAUUUCCAUUUAUUUUACAAGGCAUCGUUCACACAACGAUAACAAGGUACUGAUCCAAACAAUUCUGUAACAAUUAAAAAAGUAAACAUUUGUUGUGACCAUGGACAUUGAAUUGCACUUUUAAUAACAAGCAUUACACAUAUUUCCAUGUUAUACUUUAUAUAAUACGUGGUUUUGUUACACAAGAUCUAGCAGUACUGGAUUGUUCUCAGUUUAAAGUCUGAUAUGAUGCUCUUUUUUCCUCACUCUUUAGGAUUUGCUUACUUGGGACACACCUAUAUAACAAAUAUCAACUCCAAGCCUGGAAAACUUUAUUGUAGUGGAGUCAGAGUUUUUACGCUGCUGUUUUCCAUUUGCUGAAGUGAAUCCACCUGGAAUGGCAGACUCUGAUCUGGAUCGUGCUUCAUUAGACCCUUUUCUGCAUUCAUGUGCCAUCUUUUCCCAGGUCAGAGAAGCCAGAAAACCUUCUUCCAUGGGAAAGCAACAGAUUCCAUAGCUCAAGAGAGCUCCUGGCACAGGUUUUGCAGGUGGGAUCAGUACCAGUCCAAGCCCAGGUAUUAUUGAAAGGUAGGAACUGGGAUCUGGAGAAAAAUCUGAGAACAUCUGCUCUUGUUUGCAUUGGAAGUACCAUCCAUGUAUUAUAUAAAAUAUAAAAAUAAGAGAAACUGAAAGGAAAUUAGUACAGCCCAGGAUUUUGGUGGUAUCAAAUCACAAACAAAAUUUAUGAUACCAUUUCCUUUAGAUGUAUUUAUCCCCUUGUGAUUCAGUUUCCUAUAUAUUAUUCUAUAUAUAAGAUAUAGUUUUCCAAAGAUACAUAUAUAUUCCUUUACAGGUUAAAUAAAAGCAAGUCUCACCAAAUAAGAAAAUAAGAGGAAGUAAUGUCCUAAUUCUCUACCCAUAUCUUUUAUUUUCUUUUUCAGGUAAAAAUAGCAUGAAAUACAUUCAGUAGCAAAGCAGUUGGAAUCCAGGAGAAAUGGAGAGCCCUGUAUUCCUGGAGGAUUAACCUGUACGUGUUAACUCGCAAUCUUGAAAUAAAUUACAUAGAUUUCUGACUUGGGAAAGACAGGAUCUUGGUUAAUGGUGAGUAUUAUUUAUCCAGUUGCAAAUUCUUCAAGUUUCCCAAUACCCACCCCUAUGGAUUAGCCCAGUUUUAAAGGCUGCUGUGGUAUAUACCUAACCUAACUUGACAGGCCCAAACUUGAGUGCUUCAUCAUGGUUCCCCUUAGUAUUAGUACUUGGAAGGUGGUGGUGGGACAGCUCCCAGUAGGAUAUUAGCAUAAUAGAUGGAAAAAUAAUUUCAUCCAAGCCUUUUUGUUUGCAAGAACAAUGUGAUGCCUGGCACUGCAUGUGCUCACAGCACUGGGUAUACCUGGCAUUGCACGUCUUGUGCAGCCAGUGGUUUGCACAGCAGCCUGCUCUAUGGGGUUCAGCUGUAAUGUGCUGGUCAGGUGGGACAGUCCCUACUCCAGAGAAAAACCUCUGCCCUGAUCUGCACAUUCCAACAGUAACACAUACUAAGGUUUUCUCUGUAGUCGUUGGAAGAAAACCAGUGUUGUAAGAUAAGAGUGUUUCUGUUUCCAGUGCCAAAGGUAUUUAGGCUUAUUAGAUUAUGCAGAAGUAUGCCAAUUAUCCCUGAGUCUAACAGUAAACCAAAACAAGAGGCAUAGUUCUCUCACACAUACAAGUAGUUUCAUAGAUUUUACUGCAGCUACUUAACAGAUAGAAGGGAACAGCCCUACCUUGAUCCUGUGGAGAAAACAUGUCUUAUAUAGCUUCCAAGUUUUGAUACUGCAGUGCCAGUAAAUUCAGAUUAUUUACUACUAAAUUCAGUCCGUGAGUGAUACGGUAACUCUGAAGUCAAUGGGAUACUUCAUGCUUUGUCAAAGGGCUGAAUUCUUGCUGUUCUUGACUUUCUUUUUAUCUCCAUCUCCCCUUGUAAAUGGCUACUUUAAUUUUGAGUUGUUUUUAACACAAUGGCACAGGUGAAAGCAUCUAUCCUAAAAGAAAUUUCUAAGGCUAAGCAAGAGAAGUCCCUUAAAAUGUCUAACAAGGAAAAAAAAUGCUUAAUGAGUUAAGAAAUUUAAUGUAGCUGUAGCAAAUUAGUAAAUAUACUAAUUAAUGGAUAGGACAAGGCUGUGUUUGUCAGCUGGCAGUACUGAUUGCAUGGCUGACCACCUUUCCUGAGACUGAUUUUACAGACCUCAGGGAUUUUGCAGUUUGUUGGAUUAAGACCGCAGAUUAUAUUUUCUAUUUUAUUGUUUUACUCUCUGAGUACACUUAGAAUUCGUUGAACUAAGUGAAAUAUGUCUUAUUACUUUAGAACAUUAAGUUUGAUUCACAAAAGUAAUACAAGACUAGUUCACAGAUGUGCCAUAUAUAACUAAAUUAGCCUUGCUUCAUUUAUCCUGUAAAGAGUUACAGUCAAAGUAAAAACAACUUAUUUUUAAAGUGAAAAAAGUUGUUGUUUUUGUUUUUUUUUUCCCUCAUGUUGGGCAUCUCGGGAACAGAUUAGAAUCCAACAAGAUAUAACAGUUGUACUAAAAAAUAUUCUUUAGACGUUUGUCCUUAAGCAAAGUAAAGGCUUUAUUUCAGUGUGCACUCUCAGCAAAAUUAAAAAAAAUGAGAUUUAGCUCCACAUAUAUAUUUAUAAAAUUCAAAUUACUUUUAAUAUAAGUUUCAUAGUUUAAUACUGACUGAGGAAAAAAAAAUACUUAUCACUCCAGACUUAUGAGCUCUGUUGGCUGUUCCAGUACCACAUGAAAAUAAGUUACAGUGAGACUUUGAAAGUGUUUCUGCCUGAACAGCUAACUGAUAAGCCAGCUAUGCCCGACAGAUCCGUCGGUCUGGGAUGUGCAUUCUGGUAGCUCUGUCACAUAUUACUGAAAGGGCUAAUUAAAACCCAGAUUUGUUUUCUCACAGAAAGCCAAGUUUCAGAAUAGCAUGUACAGUCAGCAGGUAGAAUUUUAGCUUCCCUGGUUUAAUCCUGCCGUUUUGCUCCUCUCUUCUUUCUAAAUAUAACUAUGCUUAUUCAUCAAAGUAAUACCGUAGAGCUAUUUUCUUGUUCUUUCAGUAAUUUUGAGCAGACAAGAGUUCCCACAUAAAUAUUACUCUUCCAAAUGCCCCUGCUACAAACACUACCUUGGAUUUACAGAUGGAAGGUGAAAAUUGUUUAUUGCAUUUAUGUCAUUGCCAAGAGUGAUAAUGCAGCGAGUGCCUUCUGAAACUUUUUUUGCUGAUGUAAGCCAGCUUCCGUCCUAUAAAGUUUUGAAAUCAUCAUGGCUAGCAGGUAGGAAAUAAUGGUUUUGUCACAGAAAACUUAACUUCCAAAGUCAAAGAGCUGCUACACUGAGAAGGAUGAUGGGUCGAAGCUAGUUCCACAAAACAUGGUGAGCUUAUUUAACAUUCUUUUUUGAUGAACUGGGGAAGUCCCACUCUCAUGAUCCUCUUGUACUUAUUGGACUCUUUGAGAUGAUUUAAUUUACUAACUUGGCAAAAGACUAAUAGGGGAAGGGGGAAUUCCACCCAAAUAUAUAUUUUUUAAAUUAUUUUUAAUCAUCUCCAGUAAGUGCCAUAACAAGGACAGGGACACGACUGUACAACUGGGAGUUGGAGGGGUGAGAUCUUUGAGCAGCAGUGAGCUGUUACGUUAACUCAGCUGCUCAGGGAUUCCGAGUUGUUGUUGUUUUACUGCAUUUUUCCAAUCAAGGUUUUAAAUCCACUUCUAAAUAUCAUUUAUGAUAAAUGAAAUACAAAAUUUGGAUACUUAUCAAACCAUCAGUGUCACUCAUUGGCACAAUACUCUAAAAUGUAACCAUCAGAUGGUCACCAUGUAUUCUUAAAUGUCACUUCAAUAUUUAUUAUGCAGUUUAUUUUUAGUUUGAGGUGGUACUGGUAAGUGAAUGACUAAUGCCAGGUUUAGGCAGGCAAGAGAAUGGAAACAUUUAUGCAAAUAUUACUAGCAACAAACUGACCAGCGAAAAUGAUCUUUCCUAAUCUUUGCAAAAGAAAUUCCUUCUGCUUUUCCCCCCCUGUAUUAGUAUUUCCAGAUAAUCACUGUUCCUGCAUUUUAAAAUACCAACGUUUUUUUUUAUCUCUGUACAUUUAGAAGAGAGAAUUUCGUUGCAGGAUAGCAGUCUCAGGAUAGUGACUGUAUUUUGAUCUCUACUUCAAAGAGCUGACUUCCUUUGGCACAGGGUCUCCAAGCAGCUGCAGAGGUUUAUGGUAUCACUUGUCCUUGGAGCAGCACACAGCUUUUCUUUUGGUGCCUGUGAGCUAAGGUGGGGUGUGGGAAAACUUCAUGGAGCCACUCUCGUCUACAGAAAGGCUACUAAAAGGCAGGAGAGCAAGGAUCACGACUGGCAAAGGAUAUGUGCUGAAAAAAAGUGCCAGAUGGAGAGGGGACCUCAUUCCCCAACCCCAGGCACGGCCCAGAACCCGCUUGAUGGGCAAUGCACGGCAACACGGAAUGCAGAACUUGGAGACCACAGGCGCUGGUCAUCUCCUGCACUGCGCUCCCUACCCACUCCGCACGGGCAGUGACUACCUAGAGCACUAACUAGAGAAGGUAAGUACACCAGAGAAGAAUGAACAGAAUUGUUACUAAUUCAUGUUUUUUAAAAAUCAGUGUUGGUGACAGUUCUUCUGGGGCUAAGCAACAGAAUCAUAUUCAAAAGAUGUCUGUGGGUCAGUGGGCUUCCAGAACACAGCCAGGUGAGGCACACACAGGUGCACUCCUCAGACUGUAAGAGAGCAAAAAAUGAGCUGGCCUUCGGUCACACAAUGAUGGUCUGUCUUUCAUACCAAAAGAGACGGCAAAGGGAAUCUGUGCACUAUGGACACUCAAGAAAAAUACCAAGUUCAUGUGGAAACUCAUAGGUGGAGGAACAAUAACCUACACUCUGAGAUUUCAGAAAGGAUCUGUGUUCACUUGAAAGGUAAGUUAUGUUCUCCAAGAAAAAAAAACAAAACCAAACAACAGUAAAAAGGAAUAUAUGUCAGCACUUAAGACAACAAAAAAUUUCCACAACAAAAAAUUUCCAAGAGCUGUUCAGUGAGUGCCUUCCUACAAAAUGUGGUUUCUUUGCAUAAGCACAUUAUUCAUUUGUCUUCACUUCCUCCUGCUUGCCAGCUAUGCUCAGAUAUUUUUUUCUUUCCAAGCUCAUCACCAUGAAACUGCAAUUUUCAUUUCUAUUGCAAGAAAUUUUUGCAUGUUUGUCUUAAACUAAAGCCCUAAGAGGAUGCUAAAAAAGGUCUCUUCUGUGUGGGAGCUUCCUCUGUGGCAGGAAGCUGAACCUCUGCAAAUAUUCUCUCCUUAAUGCGACCCUAUUGUGCAAGGUAACUACGCACUGCCCUGUACAGGAAAGUAAGUUUGUUUCCUUUCCAAAAGACUGUACUUUAAAUAACUUGUUUUGUUCCAGAAACUGUAAGUAAAAUACUUUUGUUUUAACACAGUUAAAAUAACCCCUGCUAAAAGACACAUAACUCUGGGGAUCUUUUUAAUUGCACUGUAUUCUGCUUGGGACAAGGAAUUUUCAAAGGUAAAUUUCUUCUGUAAGGUUAAUAUAAUCUUCAAAAUGUAAAACCAAUUUGCAGUCUUUAAUAAGGCUCCAGUAUGUCUUAAUUUCUGUAUUUUGUUCAGACAGUCUUGGAAAUGGUGAUUUUUAUAGACACAUACUGCCAGCGAGCAGUAGUCAGACCUGAGUUCACCUAAACACUGGGACCAGAUCAGGACCAGAUCAGGACAGUAUUGCUGCCAGGUGCUGCAGCACCAAUACCUUUUCAUAGGGAUGUUGCUUAGAGGAAGAAAUUCGCAAAUUCUCAAGACUUCCACAAAAUAACGCCGAAAGAAGUUUGCUUGAACAUUUUUGCUAUGCUUUUGCCAAAAGCUUCAGUGUCCGCAAAGCAAGCCGCACAAUGUGAAGUUGGAAGUUCCUGCUUUGCAUUCGCAGACAAGUGGGUAAGCAAGCUACGUGGUUGGAAAUGCGCUAUCCUCCUCUUAAACUAGAAUGUACAUGGCACACUGUUCGUAAGUUAAAGAUCUCUUACCUUGUGCAUCCAGUCAAUAGCUAAGAGAUGUUCUUAUUUCGUUCCCAUACUUUUAAUUUCCAGCUGAAAGGCUCUUACAGGGCCACCUCUACUCUUCCUCCACACAGGGCAGUACUCGCGAUUAGAUGGUUUCUCUUUUCCAGCUCCUCCCCCAAGAUCUAGCAGUGCAAAACUGCCUCCUUCCUCAGGAGGAAACUCUUAAUCUGCUUAAGUCUAGAUAAAACCUAACGUUACCCGUUGAAGACGAAAAUAGCAAACAGCGCUUGUGCUGGUUUGACUGAAAGCAGGUUAAUAUAUAAACAAACUAUUUUCGAUGAUUCUGAAAUAUUUACAGGGUUUUAUAAAAUACCAUUUUGCAAUGCAUAAAGUUCAACAGAUGGAGCUGGUUCGUUACAGCAGGACUCGCAUCACAGGCAGCAUUUUGUAACCUGGCAUAACCCAGCUCGUCAGACCUGCUAUUUGUCCUUGGUGUAAACAGACAGCUCCCUGCCUUUUUUCUCUGCACACCACUGACACAUUACUAUGACAGUGAUUUCCUUCUCUCGGCAUUGCUCGGUUUCUGCAAACAGUAAAAUAAGAGAUUCCUCUUCCCUAAAUUCCUCCUUCCUGUUCCACAAGGCAGCUGCUGAACUCUGCUUGGCUUUUAAAAGGAGGAUACUGCAUUUCCAAAAGGGACAAACACCGCUGAUACAUACAAACACAAAUAAACUUACCUCCUGUAAAGUCACAGACCAAAUACUGCUUUCAACCAUUGGUGUAAGACAGUGAGAACAGGAUAUAAAAUAAUUUUUAAUACCAACAAAGACAACAAAACCAAAAAAAAGUUGCUGAUUCUUCAGUGGGUUUUUAGUUGUGAGUUUUAGAGAGGAUAUGCUCCAGCUUCCACCACACACUGAGCGGAAAGAAGGUGGCAAAUUGAAAGUGGCAGGCAAACCUCAGCCUGGGAAGAGGAAAGGCUGAACUCCACCCUCUGUUCCCUCCCAGCCAGCACGGAGGAGCAAUUCCUGACAAGAUUAGUGGCGAUGAUGCAUCCUCUCUGUGCUGCUGCUCAGGCAGGGUGUAACGAGGCACAAACCUUGUUAAGCAAUUCAGUGUCAUUUCCUGCUGAGCAAACACCCAAACCCUAGAUGUUUGGGCACGAACAGAUCCUCAAGGGUGGAAUGAAAACAGUGGUUAAAAUUCACUUUUCUGGACGUGGGCAAAGUGAAGUCUUCAUAAGCCCAUUGGAAAGGGCUCUUGAUUGUGGAGGAGCUCUGAAGGAAAACCCUCUGAACCUCCAUCUAGAAAGCCAAAAGGCUUUUACAGCAACUAUCCAGGAAACCUCUCCUGGGAAGCAAUGCCCAGGCUCCUGGAGGUGGUUUGUGUUCUCUGUGUUGACUCUGAAGCAGCAUUCCCAAAAGCGCCCCAGCACACUAUUUUAAAAACCACAAACAAACAAACAACAACCCACAUCAAGGCUUUUGUUUUUCCUCAUUCUAUUUACCAUUCAGUUACCAUGGCUGAAUAAAAAUUAUGAGUGUAUUAAUUUUGCUUCCACUUCAAACACACAAAAGGCUAUUACAUCCAAAUGACACAUUUAUUCAGACAGACAACUUGUCUGUUGCACAACAUGGUCCACAGAGGAAAAGGCUUUUCUACACUCAGAACAGAACUGUGUGCACAAGCAGGGUCUGCUUGCAAAACUCCCGCCCUUCUCUGUAUGGUUAUAUCCUCUUUAUUUCAAAAAGAGAAGCCACAAGCUCAACUCCAGCAAUUUCUCAUUAAAUCACUAAAACCCUGUUACAUGAGAUGUUCUCAAACACAGAUAAAACCCCCAUAAUAUAUGACCAAUCUGAACUAUAUUGCUAUAUUUUUUUUUGCACGUGCAACUCACUUUUCUUCCUGGCUUCUACAGGCAAUUUGGAAUUUAUUUUAACCAAAAGUAAUGAAAUUCGGUGACAAACAGCAAUUGAAAAUAUAUUUACUUUUGUACCUUUAAAAAAAAAAAAAUCUAUCUGACAAAAAUGUGAAUGAUAAAUUGUUAUAAGCCACAGAAAAUAAAGUGAAAAGGUAUCCAUAAAUAUGACACUUUUCCUAGAUAAUACUUGUAAAUACAGAAGGAAAUAAACUCCAAAAUUAAUUGGCACUCUUUACUCCUGUUCUUUUGGUAAGUCAAAUCACAACAUGAAAUACGAGCUGGGCAGGAACCCCUCUGGCAUGUAACACAGCUGGAUGGCAGGCUGGAUGUCACAAAACCAGCCCUUCUCUGGAAUUUAUGGAGACUUUGGGGUGGGUGGGACUGGAGCAGCCCUCCCCUGCCUGGACAUACCCAGCUGCCCUCGGGCAGGCAGCAUCUCCACCCUGGAGAUCCCCGGGGAGGCUGCUCAAGUCCCCAUCUCCCUGCACGCCGGGGUGAAGGUCAGACCCGCAAGCGCCAGCUGCGCCAGCUCCGGUGAGUUCUCUGUGCACAGCAGGGAUGGAGCGGGAGGAGGAGGCAGCAGGGCAGCCUGGGCCCCGCUGCCACCACACGGCCUGUCACCUGCUCUCCCAAAAGCCCAUUGAGCCACUUCCACUGAGGGCCAUGUCACAGGCAGGUGUCUUACUCAAGACAUCGUUCAUCACUGCAACUCGGAAGUGCCAGUGUCUCUGUUGUCCUGACAAAUCUCUGUUGGUAAUAAAUACUGUAACACGCUGCAAACAACACAACUAUAACUAAAAACUAUUAACAGACUGAAAGCCUGUUUCCUGCUUGACCUAUAAGAGGAAUAUUCUAUAGAGUUCUCUACUCCAGCAAUCCCAUCCAAGAAACAUCCCUUCCUUGGGCAGUAAACCAAAAACUCGUUUUGUUCUGGGACGGAAAACUGUAAAAAUUACAAGGAUGUAGUCCUUUAGGGCACAGAGAGCACGUAAGUCCAGAGGGAGCUCACAGCAAGACUGUGCUCAGAGGCUAUACUGGCUUUUCAGCAGCAUAGGCUCAGUCCUUUCCCAAACCAAGCCCAGCUGGGCAAAGCCUAGCGGUGAUGCUGCCAAAAUGAAAUGGAUUCCUAAACACACGGGCUGCAGAGUGAUCAUUUAACGGACAAGCGAAACUGGCUCCCUAUUUUCUGCCUGCAAGGAUCCACACUACUUGCGUUUCCUGCUGCCCUUUGGAAACACUCUUGAAAUGUCAAUUCCUACCAUCCUCAGCUUGACACACUAAUAAAAUCCAAAAAGCAAGAAAAGGAACAGAGAGCACUUACAAGCAUUUCUCCAUGACACCCAUCAGCUGAAGAAUGCAUCCGAACUUUGAACUUAAUGUGCAACUAACCAGUUACAGGGACACUCUAAUCACAGCAUCGCUAAGAGGAUCAGACCCAAUCCGGCUUAAUAUAAAACGACACACAGAUUCUUGAAAGUGCAAGCCAGAACCUCGGGCUGGGAUCUUGACUGUGACAGUGACUCACAUAAUCAGCGGCCAAAGAGUCACUUUCUGUGUCCUCAUUUGCAGCUUGGGCAUAAUGUUCUUCACCACCCAUCGCCCAAAAUUAACUAGUUAAUGUGCCUCCACACAGCUUCAAAGAAGCCUUAUUUGUUUUCUAAGUAUUAGUUUAAUUCCACACUAAGCGAACUACUGGAAAAAUAGUCAGCAGCAGGUUGUGUUUUUUUCUAAAUAGGUCAGACUUGCUAUUGAUUAUCAACUGCUACAGCAAUCCCAGUUCUCACCAACAAUAAUAUCUGCACCCUUUGACAUGAAAAGAACUACACUCAAAACAUAUUUUUUUCACAGGUAAAUACUUAAAAAAUAUAGUCAGUUUUAUUUUCUCUGUACCUGUAACUAUCUCAUCGCAUUUAUGAAUUACGGCACAGUCACUACAGAUUUUCAUCCUGUGGUUUUUUGAACAUGGAGCACUUUCCUUGCAUUCACAGACCAGGUAAACCUGUUGCACCUUGUAUGAUUAUUCACUACUCCACGCUCCUUGUAGACUGUACCAACUGCAACGUCACUUAACGUAUUAAGGCACAAUGAAGAACAGCAGGUAAACAGUACAGGUAUGGGAAAGCAAUGUCAGUUCCCAGCUAACCUGGGCAAUGGGCAGUAAAGUGCCUCAUCUCUGGCAACGUCACCUAAAGAAAGCUCAAUUUUUCAAAACAGGGUAAACAAUAAGUGGAUCCUGAACACUAAGUGAAGUAUGUGCCUAGAGGCACACAUACAAAAAAUCGAUGGCAGCAGAAUGUAGCAGUGACAAUAAAAGCAAAUACAUUGGAAAGAUAAGCAACGCUGAUCCAAAUUAAAGAACUAUUCUUUUUUGGUGAACUAUCAAACUAUCAUAUUAAUAACUGAACCUUUAUUUCUCUGCUGCUUUAAAGCAGAACAUUUAUUACUACUAAUUCUAUUGCAGUGGUACCUUGGGACCUCAGGAGAGCUCUGGAUCCCACUGUACUAGGCAUUAUAUUAACAAAAAACCACUAACACUUCAUAUAAACAGAGAUGAAUACCAAGAAUCAUAUCAGUCAAGGAAGAGUUCAUCUUCCGAGAGUCUCUGUGGAUGCCACUGCACACAGCUUGUGCUAGAACACUGUGUGUUUUCUCCUUUUUGUGUCUGUAGCUGAGAAUCACCCUUUGUUUCUGCGUCUCAUGAAGAUCUCCCGUAAAAGUGCAACAGCAGGAGAGUUACCUACAAACAUAUAAACUGAAAGAAGAAAAAUAUUAUAUGUGGCUACUUGCAGAUGUCUUGAGAAUUACAAAUUGUGAUUGAAAUAUUCCUGGAAAAAAACCCCACUAACUCCAAGCGUUCAAAAUGCUUGUUCAAGAAAGGGGAUGAAUUUCACCUGCCGCUUAACUUCCCUAAGAUCUGCAUCGGCCCUUCCUGGGGACAUGAGUGCAGCACACGCGCCUCGACAUAACCACUGGGACCAGCUCACUCCCCGUGGGAUUCAGCUGAGGAAACAGGUUCCCAUAUAGCAUCUAUAGUGCCUCCCGUACCUUGUAUCUGUCCAUAGGAUCUUCCUGCUGCAGCUGACUCUCACGCAUUGUUUGGUACUCUCUCUCAUAUUUCUUCAGCUUUUUGGUUGGCACCUGUGGAACAGAUUUGGAAAACAUGCAUGUAAAGACCAGAAGAAUACCGGAAAGGUCGUCUGAAAGCUCUCCUGGCAGACAGGAAGCCAAGGAAAGUGCUGGAAAGCCGGUGCUGAAUAAAGUCACUCCCCAUUGCCCCCCCUUUCACUACUCAGCAAAUACUCACAACACAGUUCCCACUGAAAGCCAUCUUUCUGCGCCUACUGUUGUUCAUUACUCAGAUAUUCAAAGGAAAACAAGAAUGAAGUAGGGACAUAUUAAUAAGAGUAACAAGAUGGAAAAAAAACAUGAACAGGAGAGAACAGGGAAGAGGAAAAUACGCUUUGAUAAGUAUGAUGCACAAAAACAAUGCCUUAGAAAGCAAACUGGUAAAAGUGAGAUUAGAAAAAAGGGGCAUUUGUACAAAAGGACUGGACAAUCUGCUUUUCCCAGAUCUGUUCUGUGUCUGUCUGUCCCCCUUGUCUAUUUCGAUCGCAUCUAGCUGACUCCUGGUGUGAGGACGUGCUGCUGUCACCUUGCCUUAGGGCAAAAAAUUCCUGCCAAUGAGCAGAGAUACGUGUUUACACGUAGUUCUGGUGUUGUUCUCCCUUUACUGGUUUCCAGCCCAAUACCUCCUUCCUCUGCAGCACAGGAAGGGACCAGCCAGGUGCUCAGUGUCGCUGCAGAGGCCUCUGGCAGGUACAGGGAGAAGAUGUGAAACCAUGAUCUGCAAAGCUCGGUGCACUGGGAGCACUCGUAAAGCAGCACUAAUGCCCACAAUUACUGAUGAAAUCUGAAACCAUCCCCUCGAAAGAGAGCAAAGAGAAAAGGGUAAACAUAAAAACAUGAAGCACUUUGGACAAACAUACAAGAGAAUUUCAGUUUGAUGACUCUUAAUAGCACAAAGUACAAUGACAUGAAAACAAUUAAAUGAAAGGUGCGUUUUUACGUUUCAACAGAGCAACACUGAAGAUGCAAACCCAGCCCUUUUUGUCUUAGCUUGAAAAUCUUGAGGCUACUUAAUAUUCACAAAUAAGAAAUCAUUUCAGAGCAGUCCUCUAAAUAAAGUGAACCAAUUGCACAUCCAUCGCUGCCUUAUUUUUCCAGUUUCAUCUUGUAUUCUCUAUUGAGACAAGGCAGAAUUUAACGUGCACAGAGCCAAUCUGGCACUUACUCACCUGCCUGAACACCACCAAAAUCUCAUCUGAACAUAUCACAUCACAAACCGCAUGGUGAGCAGUGGAGAACAAGAGUCAGCUCCUUCAUUUACCUCUGCCCUCCACCCUCUUCACAGUCCCUGUUUCCACUCGCUGACAAUUCACAACUAUUUCCUAAUGCCUGGUAACUCUUCUCACCAACCAGUUCUUCCCUAUAUGUUCUCCUUUACUUUCUUAAAUUGUAAUCCACAGCUGUGAGGAGGACCGUGCCCAGGGGGUUGACGUCCCUUAUCUCUUCCAUGCUUUUUGAAAACAUAAAAUCAUGUCACAACUAGCUGUAUGUACAGAAGCAGCAUCUUAAUAAAACACCCAAGCAGAAGAACUGAACAAGCAAAAACCUCUUUCUGAAAAACAACCAACAAGCUACUGCAUUGAAGGAGUCAUCGCAGUGAGGUGAUACAUGGCAGGAUGCACGAUGGAAAAGAAAGAACCAAACUCACAGUAACAUGUUGAUACAACAGACUCGUCUCUUGGACAAGACUUUAAAAGGGGCAAGUGGGAUGUCAUAUUUAGAUACUAUGCAAUACAAUCUGAACAACUGUAUCUCCAAAGAGAUAUUGGCCACAAGCAGGAAAUCUGAAGGGAAGAAGAGCAAAUAAUAAUUUCUUAUAAAACUCUAUUUGCACUGGGUGGUCUGUGGAGAAGAAAAUCUGCAGCAUUCAUUUGCAGAAAAAAAAUGUAGGGAUUAAAAUCAGCUGCUACCUAAAGAAAAUUCACAAGCUGUAAUACAGCUUGAAGAAAUUUCCAUUUCUCCUUUUGUCACUGUGCAGUGAAGGGCUCGCUGAUAACAAGCUGUUUCACUGCGGGUUUGAAAUCAAGUGGAACAGUCCUCAUCAGCAUUUCACCUAAGUACAGCAUCGUAUCCAGGACCCGGGCAUCCCCCGCUCUAAAACACAGCACAAAUCCCAUUAAACAUCACCUAACCCCUGGUUUUGGGGCAACAUGAUCAAGAUGUUUUUGUGAAGCAGCUUCUGGGCCAUGAUCUGAUUCUCAGGGCAGCCUGGCGCUGGGCAAGCCUGCAGCACCGAACCUGCAGUGCUGGGGCUGCACGUGGGUCCGCGGUGCCGUUAUUCUGCUCGAGCUGGGCUGCUGCACGCAGCACAAUAGAAGCCCUGAAUGUCAGACGCUAUUUUAUCAUCUCCACCGGCAGGAAGAGAUAUCCCUGAGAUGCCUUGGAAGCAUACACUGUGUUGGAAAGAUGGUCUGCUUAACGCGUGCCUGUCUGAACGCCUGCUGCAGAACAGCAUCACUCUCCACCUCCUAUCUGGAAAAAAGAACUUACAGAAAUGCUCCUUUUAUAUUGACAAAGCAGCUUGCUCCAUAGCAGCACACCUAAGUACCCCUUCCUUGCACGGGAGAGUUUUCUUCCUUCCGCAAGUCGCCUCGUUGCCAGCUCUGUCGGUGUAAGAUCUCCUGAAGAGAGUUUUCAGGAUAACACAAAUUCAAUUUGAAAGCUGGCUGGAGGCAAAGGGAACUAGCUUUGCUGUGAGUUUUUAUUUUUAUUUAAUUCUUCCACAUCAGUCCAUUAUCCAAAUAUCUCAAUUGCAACUGAGACGCCCACAGGUAUUUAUAAGAAGAAGGGAAAGGCAGGGUGCAAAAUUUACAGAGUACCUGCACAAGUUACUGUGAUUCAAAAUGGCAGCGGGCACAGUCAGUGACUCCGGCUGAUUUCCAACACCAGAUCCUCUAGUCAGAUUUUUAUCUCUAUAAUGUAUUUCCAUUCAUUGAAACCUGCUGAACCUGGCAUAACACAUUAUUCUUCCAUAGCCCUGCUGUUUAAAGAUCUGCUUAGUGAGGCUCAGUGAGCAACACAGUUAAUAUAUUAAAAACGUAGGUUGAGACUGAGAGAUGUUCAAUGAGCCUCAUUGUCCAGCAAUCCAGCAGCAACACGGGGAAAGGGAAGGAAAUGCAGAUUCCCUGGACUGUAGCUCUAAACACUGGCAUGUACUUGUGCUCUCACCACAGCGCUUGUGUUUGAGAGGCACAUGUGUUGACUGCAGGGGAACCUGCAUCUAGAAAUAAAACGGCUCAAGGAAAGGAUGUUCUGCCUUGCAGCAGAGAUUCUUCAAAACACCUCUUGUCAGCAUUCAAAAAUUCAUUUCACUUCGACAUAUGGAGGGCUUAUUAUCCACUUCAACUCUAUUUGUUUUAGCAAAAAAGAGACACCCUGAGUGGCUUAAAAGCAGUGCCUGGAAAUGGCACUUGCCAUUAUAUUCUUUAUAUACUUGCAGCUGAUGUCUAGCAGCUCACCCAGACAAAAAGUGCUUCCUCUGGCGUACAGAUAAGGGCUUUAGCAUCGAGACAGACACAGUGAAAGGAAACAGCUAUAUCCACUUUGGCAGCAAGCACCCAUUUUGCAUUUAAAUUGGCUCUGGUCAACAGGAAUACUGUGGUUGAGGAUACAAAUAUCUGAAACAUUCUAGAUGGAAAAUAUUGGUAUACAGGUCAUUUUCAUUAUCUGGCAUAACUUAAAGAAUGCCUGAACUGUGAGAUCUCUGCUACAAAAGACUAUAUGGGCUAAAUGAAACUGUGUAUAUAUCCUGCGGACACAGACUAGGACCUUAGACAGGGCCCUGCUCACAGUUAUUACAAACAACAGCAGUUUUUCCAACACAAAAUUUAUUCUUUGCUUUAUACCUCAUAACUUGGUGGCAAACAAUGAUAGGACAAGGGGUAAUGGGAUCAAGCUGGAACACAAGAGGUUCCACUUAAAUUUGAGAAGAAACUUCUCCUCAGUGAGGGUGGCAGAGCCUGGCCCAGGCUGCCCAGGGGGGUUGUGGAGUCUCCUUCUCUGCAGACAUUCCAACCCGCCUGGACACCUUCCUGUGUAACCUCAUCUGGGUGUUCCUGCUCCAUGGGGGGACUGCACUGGAUGAGCUUUCCAGGUCCCUUCCAAUCCCAAACAUACUGUGAUACUGUGAUCUAACAGUUCCAGGUGAUUUUGUGUGUCUUGCAUACAUACACCUUUCAGUAUACAGCAUUUGGUGCUAAAGGCUUUGUACGUAUCCUCAGUGACCACACAAAAUCAGACCCUCAGCUCUCCCCCGUUUUAAGGUACAUCACUCAUUCUGAUUUUCACCUGCCCACAACCAUUUUAGAGCUUUGGUUGUAUUUCCUGGCACAUCACAGCAAUAGAGUGUGACCAGGAAGACAAGCAAAGUCUUCACCACCAUCCCCAGGACAACAGAAUUGGAAAUUCAGGAAAAAGCCCCCAGUGAUUUUCUUGCAUCACUUAGCAAAGGAACACCCUGUUCCCAGCUACAGAAGGUAGCUAAGUGGUGCUAGUGUUCGCUUUCCAACCUUCCUGAGAGGAUGCUGAAAGGAACACAGACCUAUCUCCCUAUUGCACUUAUCGAAAAUUGCCAACACAAGCCUACCAAAUUCUCAGUAACCAGGUUCAAAAUAUCAUCUUAUCAUGGCUGUAAAACCUGUCUCAUCAAACAUAUUUAGUCCACAGAGCCCACAGCUUUCAGCUAACAACCCCUAAGCUCAAUGCAUCUUCUGAAAGCUGCCACGAGCCUGGGGAAACCAGCUGCCUGUCCUGACCCUGCUGAGAUACCAAGCCACGACUUGUCCCCUGUCACACUCUGUGCCCAGCGUAAGAUGAACAAAAUAUUCUCCUUCCUGAGAUGGAGCAUUGGUGCCAGAUCACAACUCUGAACGGUACGCCCCGGUGAGCCACGUCCAGCAGUAAAGAACCUCGCAGUAUUCUUGGAAUACACAUUCUAUGUGUUAUUGUUUGCAAUUCUUUGUUGCAGUAUCAAAAACUGUAAUGCUGUCACACUCUAAAUUGGCAAGUGUUUAAAAUCAUAGUCACGCUUCUCUGAUGUGUAGUGAGGUCCUUGCUGCUAAAACACCUUUCCUUAAUUUUACAAAUAUUUCAAACCCACAAGUCACUAACAGCAAUUACUAAGAGCACUACUCCAGUAGCAGAAAAAAACAUACCUUUUCUAUACUAAAGCUAAACCAUUCAGGGCUCUACCAUUCAGGGCUUCUGUUUUACCACAUCUUCUCAAAAGCCUUGUCCUUUUUCUGCUUGUCCAGCUCCAUAAACACUACUGCUAAAACCCUAAAAUAUAAAACCAAUUCUUGUAAACCACACAUAAAAUGAUGAGCCCUUUGAAAAUACAAGUGGGACAGUGUCCAACUCCCAAGGUAUCAGAAGCGCUCACUGAAGCAUUUUGCUGCAAUAACUAAUCCUUGCGCUGCUCCAUUAUCUCUGUAAUCCUUCAUCUGCCCAGAAGGUUUCCUCCGUGCCUUUAACGAGGCUGCAGGUUUGGCCACAUUCACGCCUCUCAGCAUUGGUGGUACCUGCAGAGGCCUUGCCAUGGAGCUGGCGGAGGCCAGGACAGGAGGGGUGAAAGGCACCGCGAGCUGUUGAUGCAGCACGAGCAGCGUCUGAGAGCAGCCCGGGGUGGGAACACUCGGCAGCACUGCAGGGCAGCCCCGAGAGACACAAAGCAGGUGUACCGCUUCACAAACCUGGAUGUACGAGGCCGGUUUUUGGUUUUUAAACCUGCCGUUUCACUGCCCCAACUCCAGUUCCACACCACUGCCCCAGCGCUACAAUCUGAGUUUGCUGCUUCACCUGUGUGGAGACCUGCGCUCAUCCAUCAUGUCAGUCACCAAGGAACUCGAGACUGUCUACUUUAUCAUCUAGCAGGGAAAAUCCCAAGAGCUUCUUAAGCACUGAGAAAAGCAAGAAGUUUCAUCAGGCAGGAGGAGCUGGGGGUGGAAGAUGAAAUGUGGCCGUGCUGCCAACUUCAGCUGGAAAGCCAAGCUGCUGCUGAAGAGAGAGCUCUACAGAAGAGAGGGCUCCUGCAGAGGGAAAACACACACCUUUUGCACAAAAGGAAGCCAGUUACUAUUAGCAGCAACAUCUAAGCAACAUCUACUUCCCGUUGUUUUCAUCCCCCAGUACCAACAGCCGCAAAGAUGAGGCAAGCCUAAUAAUCUUCCUGAGCUCUCUGUACUGUCCCUCUUGACACAAAAAGGAGACCCUCAGCUUUGGGAUACCGGAAUCAAGUGUUGUCCGACCUGCUACAGCCGUUCAACUUGAAUCUGGACAAUCCCUGCUUGCUGCUGCUUCGCUCCUGUGAUCGCCAAGGUAGAGGACAAACAAAUGCCACGGUGUGUUAACUUGGGAUUGCUCAGGUGACUCUACCUUGCAGCAAAACUACAAUGUUUGUAUAUACGCUGAACUUUGUGUUGGCGUAGCUGAGAUGCUACCUUGAAAUCAAACCAUCUGGAUUUUUCUUAGCACAAAAACCAAGCCUACAGCUUUAAAACAAUGUUCUUUUUUCCGAAGUUCAUGUUGACACAGCUAGAAGGAAGCAAUAAAGAAUAAAUGUGCAUAUUGAAUGGUGCAUGAAAGUGCAAACUGAACAGGAUAAAAACCACUGAAAUAUGUUUUCCAACUUUGGCAGUGAAUUGAUGCCAAAUUAUUCAGAGAACUGGGUUCAAAAAGAAUGAAAAUUGUUGUAGACAAUGAAGACAAUAUUUUUAACUACCACAUUCACCUACACAAACUUUCUAUUCCACCUUCUAGUAAUUAAGAAAUCAGGCUUCCAUGAAGAGAUUAAUCACCUUUUCAUCUAGUUUUAACACUCCUUUCAAAGUCAACGAACACACUGAUCAUGCAGACACCGACAGAACACCGAGAAACGUGUACUUUCCGUUUGCUAUGACUACACACAAAGCUUUCGGGUUUGUACACAGCUUUACUAAGGUGUGAUGUAUCAUAUAUAAUGACGACCUACAAUUAGUAAGAAGGCUGAAGGUUAGAAUUCAGGAGCUUCAAAUCUUUCAUUUGACCCACUUUCUCAUCUCAAUAUGACAAUUAUGGUAUCUAACAGAUUAGAAGUGGCUUAUGUAUCAAUCUUACCUGACCUGUAACAGAUUAGAAGUGGCUUAUAUAUCAAUCUUACCCGACCUGCCUCACCUGUGGCGAGAGAAAUUAGUUAAAUUAUUCUUAUUUAACCAUUUCUGUAUUUAAAUGUUGAAAUACGGCCUUACAAAGUAACUCGUUACCUGCUCUUCUUUAAUUGCAAAGGUUCAAUGCCGAUACCAAACAAGUUCAAGGUCAUUACAUUUACAGACCUAAUGAACCAAAAAUGUCCAGAAACUUAUUUCAAAUUUCUUCUCCCAAACGGGCUUGUAAUGACAGAGACAGAAGCGGUUUCUCAAGUGCCCAGAAAAACUUAUAUCAAUUUUCCAGGAAUUCUUUAUCAGAAGAAAAUGAGGAAGCUUCAAAAUACUCAAAUAUCCAUGCUUUAAUCACAAAGAUUCUGUUCUUAUUUAUAAAAGGGCUAUUUGACACACUGCUUAAAUAAUUUCCUCUUGAUCCAAAGACAAUAAAAGGGCAGCAAGAAGAAAUGCUUUCAAACAUGAAGAGAAAAGAAUUAGAAAAUAAUGCAGGUAAUUAAUUAGGGACAAAUGAAACAAUAGCUAAAACUAAAUGCAGAAGAAAAAAGUUUAAGUUCCUUCUUGAGUUUCGUUAGACUGGCGUUGACUCUAGAGCAUAUUGAAAACAAGAGGACUCCUAAGCAUUGUUCAUAUGCAUUAAUAAUUAGAGCUCAAAAAUAAUUACAAUUCAGAGGAGUCGGAACUGUCCAGAAAACAGCUCGGCUCUGCUGCAAACCAGGCUGUGGGUUUUUACGCAGAGCAGAAGUGCUGACAGAACUAGCGGACGAGAUCUCCCGUCACCAAUGUUCAUUUUCAGUAAAUCCUUGAACGCAGUGGAGAUUCACUUAGAUUAGAAGAAAAUUCUGUAUUACCAGCAUUUAAGAACCACAAGUCAAACCAUCUGGAUGACUUUGGUUCAUCAGCUGAAACUCAGAAACCCACAUACACGCUCUGCAGAGCUGAUAAGGAUCCAGCUGACAACUAACGCAGGAACGUAACUGGUUCCACAGCAGUGGGAUUGUAUAAACUGUAGGUCCCAUUUUAUUCUUUAUCUACAGCUUUGAUUGAUAAAAGUAACUUUACAGUUAUAACAGUCUUCUCUAGCACUGGAUUCACUACCACAUGAUAGAUUUAUUCUAAAAAACAAACAAAACCAACCAAGAGGAGUAUCCAAUAGCCAUAAUAGCCAUUAAGCAUGAAUUAAAAUGCUUAGGAAAUGGGUCAAAGAGCCAUUAUCAAAGGACAUCAUUAUUCAAUGACAUUUUUCAUUUUGGGUUAAUGACAUCCUAAAAGGUGUCCUCUGGGAAUCAUACAGGAUCCAGCCUUACCAAGCAUUACAUCAGUGGCCUGGAAGUGAAAAACACAGUCCCAGUAAUAAAAUUCGCAGAAGAUGCGUCAGUAGAAAGAGCAGUAAAGAACAAGAAGGACCAGAAAAUUUCUCACAUGUAUUUGAAUUCUUGGAAACAGCUUACUCAAUGAAACACCACGGCUCCUGCCCCUGGUGUCUAGGCGUGAAGAUGCCAAACAGUGCCAGCCCCACUAUCAACCCCAAACCCUAUGUCUGGCCAGCUGCCCAUUAGACUUCAGCCCCUCAUCACCACCCCUGUGCUCCUGCAGGGCCACCCAGAUUCUCAUCCACUUUGCAGUUCACCCGUCCGCUCCGAACCUCCUCAGUUUGGCUUCGAUGGGAAACUGAGAGCCUGGAAAUCGUAAUGGCAGAGCCUGCUGGUGCGUGACCACACAUUGCUUCUCUGAAAUGGCUGAUAAUUCCCCUGAACGGAGAGCUACACACAACACGGCAGGCAGGCAAAUGGAAGUACAAUGAAGCUUUCCAGAAGAAUGUUUUUCAGCUCUGGAUUAAGAGGAUUAUACCACUUACUGUACGAUUUUUAUAAACCCUGGGGUCCAAGUUUUCUGCAGAUAAGCUGAGAACUGCAAUUCGCUAGAGCAAAGCCACUCAGCUCCUGCACAAACUCCACAGCAGAACGUCUGUGCAAAGUAGUUCCAGAGUAACUUGAAAUCUCGAAAGCAAGAGCACACAGCAAAACAACCGUGUGUCAUGGUCACACUGCAAUAUGACUAAUUUUAUUAAAAUAUAUGUUGGAGGAUUGCUAUCACAGUGUUGCUUUGGAGCGUAUUUAACAAAAGCUUAUCUCAGAUCAUCUACAUCCUGUUUAAUUGUCUAGUGUUUAUGUGCAUCAAAGCAACAGUACAAAAACACUGUUACCCUUUUCACUGAAAAAAAAUCACAUUUUCUAUUGAAAAAUACAACUAGAGUUGAUGGGACCCGGCAACGGCAGAUAAUUCUGAUUUUCCUCAUGAAGGUCGUUACCUGUGUGGCACUGGACUUGCCAGCAGGUCCUGCAGGACUGGCCUGAAGCACAAACAACCCACAACAGGGAUUGUCUGGGUCUGGUUUGGUUUCAGUCUUAACCCGUUGUCACUGCACGUCAUAACCAGUAGCUCUCUGCAAGAGAGAUUGCUGUGCGUCCCGACCUAUUGCACAACCCAAAUGAACUAUAAAGAAUUACUAAUUCAAGAUUUCUGGAACUACAACAAAGCCAUCCUGGUAUCCAAACUGUGGAACAGGAUGAAAGCCUUUAAAGAACUUUUUAACAUUUCCCUGCAACCAGAGCAGCAUACUAGAAAAACCUUUAAAAAUGAAUGAAACGUGGAUUUUGCAAACGAACAGAUGAAUCCUGGAUUGCAGAAAUCCCUGUCCCAUUAACAUGAACAACAACUCUGCAAAUUCUCUCUGCAGAAUCUUACUUUACAUGCAGUAUAUGCCGUUGUACAGCCUGGUAAAAUGACCAGGACAGAGUCAAUAGGAUUUGCCUCAACUUAUCCCAAUCGGCCGCUUGUCCCAUGAUCAAACAUAGCAACAGAGAACUGAAAAGAAACUUUCUGAGUCAUCAGGUACUAGCGCAGGCUCCCACGCACCAUCUCAUCCCAUCACAAUCCUGCUGAGCUUCAUCUUAAACGUACUCGGGUUGUUUGCACCAUUAUUUGCUUAGUUAGUACACCUCAAAACCAUUUAAAGGAGUAGUUAAGUAUUUCCUGUGUAAACCCUGCAAAAGACACCUUUCUUAUCUACUAGUAGGUAAUGUACUGAAACAUGUUAAUACUCUUUGAUUCAGGAAAAUAAAAAGAGCUGAUAAGAACACAUAUUACACUAAAGUCAGUCAUUCAGACAUUAUAAAUAAUAGUAAUGAUGAUGCUCUUCCUUCCAUGGUUCUCCAUGUAAGUAUCUCUGUUUAAUAGGAGCUAAGUAACUACCUCAUAAAGAUGUUUUUUUUUUUUUUAAUGUUAUUUCAUCUUAUUUUCGAAGUGGCCCAAGUCAGAUGGAGCUGUAACAUGGUGCUCUUGACAUCAGUUACUUCUCCUCCAGUCCCUCAUAGCUCAUCUGGAGGAAUCUAGAGAUACACAACACAAAGCCUGUUACUUCUGCUACAAAGCUACACAAAACUGAAGAGGUCAUCGCCAAGCAGCACUUCACAGAUAUAACUUAUAGGGCAAGCCAUCCAUGAAAUGUUCUGUUACCUCAUCUGAGAACACCUCCCUUUGUCACAGCCUAGUGACCUACCUGGAUACAAACACAUGCACAGACCAAAAUCCGCAAACACAAAUGCUUAACUGGGUUGCUACAUAAUUCACCUGAUUUGUAUUUAGACUGAAAUUUUAACUGUCUCUGCUUUCAAGUUGAGCUCAACACCUGCACAUGCAUUUUCAAAGACUUCUUUGGACUGCUUCUAUGUGGACUGGCUCACACCAAACUGAGCCUAAACUACUGACUUGGGUGCAGCUCCCUGCAAGUGCUCGGGCUCCACGAGGGAGGAAGAGGACCACGCUAUACAUGUCAUCCACAUAAAGAUAUACGCUAUUUAUGAAAAAAAGGAACCAGUAAUCUAACUAAAAGGUUUUUAUGGACGUUUAUGCUGAUUUCAGAAGAAACGAAAGUGUUAAAUUGCCAUUCCAAAGCAAAGGACAGAUUCUCUCAGAUUUAGUGCUGACCGUGACCUACACCCCAGAUCCUCAGUGAACGCUGGGCAUCUGGCCUGACCCUUUAACUGACACGCUAAGACACCAAGUGUGUACAUCAUUUAGUGCUGAUUCUUCCGUUAGAUAAGUUCAGGCACUUACCCACUUAAUUAUUAUUUCAAUUACUUCAAUAUUAUUUCAAAAACAUUAUUUUAAGUGUUAUCCUACUGAGCAAAUCACCUUCUUCUAAACUUCAUUAUUUUAACAGUCUUAUCUCUUAUAAAUUAUUUUAAUUUUGUUGAUUCAUGACAGCAAAUUUCUGAAAAAGUAAUAAAAAGAGAAACUAAAUAAUCAACAGCUUUCAGCAGAACGACUUAACUACUGGACAGAGUAUAACUGUAAAAAAUUAUUGGCAAAGGAGCAAGAGCAACACCUACCACAG